rnacentral:lncRNA from 1 species
GGAGGAGGAACUCAGCAGGUGGCGCCUGGGGCUUCUGAAGAAGUUCAAGCUUCGCCUGGUGGUUCUCGGGGCUUGAGGACCACUGUCCAGCAGCAUGUGGCCUUGCUACUUAAGAAACACGACCUUGCGGAAAGGAUGCCUAGAAGACACUUGGAUGGGUGGAAGAUGCUGGAUGUGGGUGACGGGACCCCCCCGUGGACACUGGU